GACGAACGCUGGCGGCGUGCCUAAUACAUGCAAGUAGAACGCUGAAGGAGGAGCUUGCUCUUCUGGAUGAGUUGCGAACGGGUGAGUAACGCGUAGGUAACCUGCCUGGUAGCGGGGGAUAACUAUUGGAAACGAUAGCUAAUACCGCAUAACAGUAGAUGUUGCAUGACAUUUGCUUAAAAGGUGCAAUUGCACCACUACCAGAUGGACCUGCGUUGUAUUAGCUAGUGGGUGGGGUAACGGCUCACCAAGGCGACGAUACAUAGCCGACCUGAGAGGGUGAUCGGCCACACUGGGACUGAGACACGGCCCAGACUCCUACGGGAGGCAGCAGUAGGGAAUCUUCGGCAAUGGACGGAAGUCUGACCGAGCAACGCCGCGUGAGUGAAGAAGGUUUUCGGAUCGUAAAGCUCUGUUGUAAGAGAAGAACGAGUGUGAGAGUGGAAAGUUCACACUGUGACGGUAUCUUACCAGAAAGGGACGGCUAACUACGUG
rnacentral:rRNA from 1 species